GUUCCCUGGAUGUAUUAUCUCGCCGUUCAUGUGUCCCCGACAGCCGCUGAUUGGCUGGAGCCGCGAGAUCAAGAAAAGGAGGAAGUGAGCAUGAAAUAAUUGACGUCAGAGGGUGGACACACAGGUAGAUAGCAGAGUGUUGGCAAUGGCUGUUUUCAGGAGGUUAGUUUCAGGAGCAGAGAGAAGACUAAUGGCAGGGAAUUUACGGAGGACUUCUCCUGGGAUCCAUGGAGCAACGGGCUAAAAGCCAGAGCAAAGGAACCUGGUCAUGGACCCGGAGUGGAGCCUGAAAAAACACAUGGAGGAGCGGCAGCUGCAGAGCCACACCUGACGAUCACACCCUGUAGAGAAGAGGUAAAAGAGACGCACACAAACACGCACCAACCUGCAUGCAGCUCACAUGCAGAGACUCAAUUUAAUUGGUGUAACUGUGAUGUCAACAGCUCCAAGCGGCCGUUAAUCAAAAGUCUAAUGAAAUUUACACUUUGAUCUUAUAAAAAUAAUAUAUAUUUAUAAUAUAUUUAAAACCUGAAGCACCUGGUAAUAAAGCAAUGUCUUUUUGGCCCAUUGAAAGUUUGAAUGGCAUUUGUAGGUGUAAGUAAUGGAAGGAAAUGAGUCCUUUUAAGAGCACACAGAUGACUGGAAAGCUCGUCCCAUU